AUUGAACGCUGGCGGCAGGCCUAACACAUGCAAGUCGAGCGGAUGACGGGAGCUUGCUCCUUGAUUCAGCGGCGGACGGGUGAGUAAUGCCUAGGAAUCUGCCUGGUAGUGGGGGACAACGUUUCGAAAGGAACGCUAAUACCGCAUACGUCCUACGGGAGAAAGCAGGGGCCCUUCGGGCCUUGCGCUAUCAGAUGAGCCUAGGUCGGAUUAGCUAGUAGGUGAGGUGAUGGCUCACCUAGGCGACGAUCCGUAACUGGUCUGAGAGGAUGAUCAGUCACACUGGAACUGAGACACGGUCCAGACUCCUACGGGAGGCAGCAGUGGGGAAUAUUGGACAAUGGGCGAAAGCCUGAUCCAGCCAUGCCGCGUGUGUGAAGGAGGUCUUCGGAUUGUAAAGCACUUUAAGUUGGGAGGAAGGGCAGUAAGCUAAUACCUUGCUGUUUUGACGUUACCGACAGAAUAAGCAUCGGCUAACUUCGUGCCAGCAGCCGCCGUAAGAC
rnacentral:rRNA from 1 species